GACUUCUUCUCAAGUUAUACGGUUAUUAAAAUCAGUUACAGUUAUUAUUGUUAGUUAUGUUCUUUGACUAUUCGAGUUUCUUAAAAGACCAGGUCAGUAAAAAAUAAGAGUUAAAACGGCUAAUAUUUAAAAGCUGAGGAUUUUUUUUUAGCUCAAUCACGAGUUUGAACUUUUUUGGCUUUAAUUUGAAAGUUAAAGAUUUUAAUGACUAUUUUCUCAUAAAUAUAGAUAUUUUCUGUCUUUUUUACAAGCAAGUCUUCUACAAAAAAAAAAUGUUGAAGACCGAAACGGACAAAACAUAUAUGUUUCCAUAGAUUUUCAGUGUUCAAAUCAAUAAUAAAUUGAAAAAAAAAUCACAAAUAUUUGGAAACGAGAAAAAAAAAAGAAUGCAUAAUGCUAAACUCAAAAGAAUGAUAAUUUUGGGGAAAACAAUUUUAGGUAAAUGAAAUGACUAAAAACUUUGAGAGUGGAAAGGAGAUGACCAGAGAAAUAGUCAGAAAAUGUGGAUGAACCUUACCUAGGUUUUGAUGUCAAGUAUAAUGAUGGUAUCUGAUUGUAUAAAAAGUCGAUUGCUUAGACCAUUUCAAAUGUAUUUCUUUAUUUCUUCGUCUAUAUAGAAGUGAGUUUAUAUCCAAUGUAUUUUUCUAUUUCUUCUUCUAUAAAACAAUAUUCUUAAAAGAUUCUUUUAUAUAACACAUUUAACUUAUAAAUGUUGCAAAUUAAUCCAUUUAUUAUAACUUUUGGUUCUUUUCAUAAAAUUGCAAUAUUAUUUAAAUUAAACAUUUUAUUACAAAAUAUAUUAGAAAAUUAUAAUAAAGCAAAAUAAACAUUAUCUAAACAUCAUCAUUACUAUAUUUUCCCAUAAAUGAUCAAUUAAUGCAUUCCGAAAUGAAAAAGAACUUCCUUAUCUUUGAUUUUUCUGAACCGACUUAGAAAUUCUUGGAACAUGUUAUAUUCAUCGUCUGGUAUUUGGACUUUUGGAGGUGGAGCUUCUCUUCUAAUUUCAAUCGAUGAAUCGAGAUCACGCUCAUCCUCAAUUGUCAUAUUAUGUAAAAUUAUACAUGUAGUCAUUAUUAUGUAGUACUUUUUUCCAGAAACGUACCGGGUCUUUUCACAAUAGCAAAACGUGAUUGUAAAACUUUGAAUGCAUGUUUUACAUAUUUCCUACAUGCUUCUUGUUGCGCUGCAAAAUAUUUUUUUCUUUGGACCUAUUGACUCAUGAAUAGUUUGCACUAUGGUUGAGAAUUUUGGAUAUAUACCAUCAGCCAAAUAAUAUCUCAUAUUAUAUUUUUUGCCUUGAAUAACAUAAUGAACAGGAGGAGCAAUACCUUGAACGAGAUUGGAAAAAAAGGUGAGAAGACUCCAGCACAUUAAUAUCAUUAUUAGUCCAUGGCAAGCCAAAAUAUGCAUGACAUAUCCAAAUAUCAUAUCAUCCAAAGCUGUUUCAAUAUGUUGUAUUGAUUAAUAUUUAAGUUUCAUUUUAAUAUUUUAUCAAUAUGUAAAAUUAUGUGGAACUUUUAAUAAUUAAAUUUUAAUUAAUAGUUUUAAUUAUCAAUAUAAAAUUUUAGAUAUCAUUCAUUAAAUAAAAAGUCUGACUUUAAAUAAAAUAAUUAAUAUGUAAACAUAAAAUAAUUAGAUAUCUUUUUUAUUUAUUUUAUUUAUAAUUAUAAAAAUUAAAAAUUAGUAGUUAAACAAAAAGCUUAUAAUUUAUAUGUAAAAAUUGUAUUUCUUCAUAAACAUGUAUUUUAAAUAUAAUCACAAAAGCUAAAGGACUAUUUUGUAAAUAAAAAAGUAUGUCUAUAUUAUAGAGAAAUGCUAUUUUUUUUUUCCUAAAUAAAGAUGAAAAAAUAACAAUCUCUAUUAUAAGGGAAGAAAUAGAGGUGGGUUGGAGUAGAUUUUCUUCUAUUAUAGCAUAUAGAUGCAAAUAUAUGGAGGGAUUGGAGAUGUUCUUAGUGGAGAUGGAUCUAUACUUGUAGAAGUUACUUAAUCUUGGUUAGGGUACCAAAUGAUGAAGGUUGUAUCUGUAUCGUUUGAAACUUUGAAUUAUUUGGACUAAUAUGGAAAGGAAAUGUCAUCUUGAAUCCUAGUGAAACAUUAGCGUUGUUCUCUGAAAAUUUGUAGAGGUUUUUUUUUUACAUAAACAUAGGUCUUCAAAUUGUGAAAAAGAAGUUUUUACUAAAAUUCUUUAAAAAUGGUCAAGCCGCCAAAAUCUAAAAUCCGGCCCUAUAUAGAACAAAUAAAAAAGAGUUAUAGAACCAUGGAGAACAAGGGGUUCAGUAACUAUGGAGGUUAGAGCGCUAACGUGAAAUUAUUUUUGGUCGGGAGCAAUAAUGUAAUUAGGUUCCCAAAAUACUGUAUACCUCUUAAUUUGCUUUUAACAAAUACACUUCAGACUUAAAUUAUGUUAGUUUUGUAUUUGGUUACAAUAUCUAGAUGUACCAUCUCAAUACAACAUUUGGAUGUAUUCGUUUUUAUAGUUUGUAUUUACAUCUAGAUACAUCAUCUAGAUGCUAAUUUAUUCGUUUUCUAUUUUAUAAUAACAUUUGAAUAUUACUAGUUAAUUAUAAAUAAAAAAUUAUAUAAUAAAGAAUUAAUUAAUUAUCUUAUUUCAAUAAAUAUGUCUAAAUUAUAGUUAAAUUAAAAUAGUUAUUAAAUUUAAAUAUUUUUUGGAAAAUCUGAUUUUAAGGUUUUGACCGUAAAUCCGAUUUACAUUUUUUGAAGGAAAUCAUAUUUUAUGGUUUUGGCGGAAUAUUGUGAUUUAAAAAAUUUGGCGGGAAAAUUUGAUUGUUUGAUUUUGGUGGAAAAAUGUGAUUUUGCAUUUUGAGUGGAAAAUCUAAUUUUAAAGAUUUGGUGGGGAAAAAUAUAAUUUGGGUGUUUUGGGAGAAAACUCAAUUUUGUAGUUUAGGUGGAAAAUUUAAUUUUGUUUUUUUGGCGGAAGACGUAACUUUGCGGUUUUGGUGAUGUGAUUUUAUAGUUUUCCGCAAAAACCCGAUUUACUCUUUUGGUGGAAAACUUGAAUUUGCAUUUUUGACAGAAAACUUAUUUUUUGGUUUCAGCGGAAAUUUUGAUUUUAUGGGAUUGGCGACAACAGGAUUUUACGAUAUUGGUAGAAAACAUGAUUUUAUGAUUUGGCGAAAUUCUUUAUUUUUUUUGACGAAAACGUGAUUUUGCAGUUUUGGUAGAAAAUAUGAUUUUACAGUUUUGAAAUGAAAAUUUGAAAUUUGGUUUUUGUGGAAACAUUUGAUUUUGCGGUUUUGGCAAAAAAAAUCAUUGCAUGAUUUUAUGGAAAACAUGAUUUUACAGUUUUGACAUAAAAGCUCAAUUUUACGGAUCUGGUAAAAAAAUCAAAGUUUACAAUUUUAGCGAAAAACUCGAUUUAACGGUUUUGGGGAAAAAACUCAAUUUUAUUAUUUUUGCCAAAAACUCUAUUUUAUAAUUUCAUCAAAAACUAUAUAUAUAAUAAAAAUAAAAUAAACUAGUUAUUUGUAUAUAUUGCUGAAUGAUAUUUUAUUCUUUUGAAUUUUGAGAUGCAAAUGUUGCAUUCAAACUCCAUAUUUUUGCAUCAUAAAUAUUUGAAUUAAUGAAUUUUUAUCUAGAUAUAUUAUCUAAAUGUUGAUGUAAUAGUGUGUAGACAAACAACUUCCGAGCAUUUGCAUCCAGGUGCAUCAUUAAUGCAUCAUUAAAAGCAAAUAGUGCUUAAUACCUGAAUUUACUUUUCAUGGUUUUAUAACAAAUACUAAAGAGUUUUGAUGGAAUCAAAUAUAAUUAGUGGUUGGGUUACAUUUUUUUUUUUAUGUCACAGGCUGAGUCACAUCUAAGAAAUAAAUUUCCUAAACAACUGUUAGUUAAUUAUAAUGUAAUCAGAUCCUGACAUUAUAACAAGCACCCAAACGAGUGUCAGAGUGCGUAACACGUGUCAACUUCCGAACUAAUAUAGGAACUUCCUCCACCAAACACAAAUGAAUUCAUUAGGAAUUCUCACUUAUGUUUUCAUUUUACGAAUUUUUACUUAUGUUUUCAAGUGUGUAUCUGAAUAGGAACUUCCUCUCUCUUUCUUAAUUUUUUCUAAACUUCGUGUUCGGUGGCUGACGGCAGCUUUGCUGUCGGUCACCACUAACUCUUGUUUUCGUUGUACAUAAUAGAUCUACGAAUCGAUCUUUUGUUAUGGUGAUUUGAGUAGGCUCCUUCGUUUACUGUUCACUUUCAUCCCUCUCAAAGAGAAUCAGUCUUCUUUGUCAGUAAGCCGGUUAUGGCAUUGAGGAUAGCAUCUCUGAUUGGGAGUUGAUGAGGUUUGAUGGAUUGUUUUAGCCAUUUGUGAAGUCGAUUAAGAAGAGUUGGCGUUCUACGGUCCAACAAAUAGUCGGUCUUCCGUUUGGUUUAUGUGUCCUUUUCUUUGGAAUUUCGGUGAAUUAAGGUAAUACUAAUCAAGUAACCGAGGCUUAGUUAUAAGGCAUCAUGGUAUAAGCGAUUAGAACAGCGACAUAGAAGAAGAAGAGACUUUGAGGUGGGUUUGCUAGAAUCACGGUGAAGAAGUCAUCUCGACGUUUGUUCCUGCCAGCUCAUUGUAGAAGAACACGUGUGGUCUAUAUGUUAUUCUUUGAAGUGUUCAUAUUCGACACGUGUUACAAACCACUUCCAAUUUUUAAUAUAUAUGUAACUAGAUUUUGACCCGCACAUUCGUGCGGAUAUUUUUCAUUUUAUGAAUGUAUACUUUUGAUUUAUUAUAAAUAUUUUAAGUAUAUAAUUUUAAUUUUAGUGUUA